ACGGAAGGCAGCAGUGAGGAAUAUUGGUCAAUGGGCGGAAGCCUGAACCAGCCAUGUCGCGUGCAGGAUUACGGCCCUACGGGUCUUAAACUGCUUUUGAUUGGGGAUAAAGUGGGGGACGCGUCCCCUAUUGCAGGUACCAAUCGAAUAAGGAUCGGCUAACUCCGUGCCAGCAGCCGCGGUAAUACGGAGGAUCCGAGCGUUAUCCGGAUUUAUUGGGUUUAAAGGGUGCGUAGGCGGGCUGUUAAGUCAGCGGUGAAACCCCCGGGCUCAACCCGGGGACUGCCAUUGAAACUGGCGGCCUAGAGUACGUUGGGAGUGCGCGGAAUGUGUGGUGUAGCGGUGAAAUGCAUAGAUAUCACACAGAACACCGAUCGCGAAGGCAGCGCACUACGCCGCAACUGACGCUGAGGCACGAAGGCGCGGGGAUCGAACAGGAUUAGAUACCCUGGUA
rnacentral:rRNA from 2 species